rnacentral:rRNA from 1 species
AACGGCCAUACCAUGCUGAAUAUACCGGUUCUCGUUAGAUCACCGAAGUCAAGCAUCAUUGGGCGCGGUCAGUACUUGGGUGGGUGACCACCUGGGAACAUCGCGUGCCG